CAGCAACUUCUUGGUGCUUACCCAGGACAACUGAUGGAGUGAGCGAGACCUGAUCUGGUCCUGAUAUGCCUUGGUUUUCCAUGUUUUUGAAUCAACAGUGGCAGAUAAAUUCUUGAUAUGCCUUAACGAUAAUCCUUCUUUCAAAUGGUGGAGGAAAUAACAAGGAAAACUAAUAUUUUAGACCUGAUUCUGGAAGAAAAGAGAGAACUUGUUGCUGGAAUAGAUAGUUGGGAACCUUGACAUCAAGAAGCUAUUACAUCUUAGUGAAGUAAAGUUAGGCAUAGUCAGAUGUGAAUCAUAGAUUUUGGAGGAGCAGAUUUCAAAAGGUUCAGAGAAAGGCUAGGUAGUAUGUAUGGCUUAAUAUUCUUUUCAGAGGAAAUUGGACCAGUAGGCAUGAAAAACUGUGAAAAAUGAUAUUCUGAAGAUAUAAGAAGAAAUUACUCCAAAGUGGUGGAAAAGAAAGGACCAGCCUAAGGAGCCCAAUGUGACUGCACAGGGAACUUAUUGACCAAUUUAGAUUUUAAGAAGAUGUACACAGAAGAUGGGAGUGCUCCUUCAUUCUGUAUUGUCUGGUGUAUAUCCUCCUAUGUAUACCUUCUCUGAUUUCUGUUUUACUAUUGAUUUGAAUAAAUGAGUUUUCUUUGUUAA